UAGCCGCAGUAUAUUGACUGUGCGAAGGUAGCAUAAUCAGUAGGUUAUUAAUUGUGAUCUGGAAUGAAUGGUUUGACAUAGGAUUAUCUGUUCUUUAGAUAUGUAUGAAUUUAAAAAAUUAGUCAUAAUGCUAAUUGGGUGAAAAAAGACAAGAAGACCCUGUUGAGUUUAAUAGAGGGGUUUUAUUAUGAUAGCUAAAGAUAAAUUUUUACUAUUUGGUUGGGGCAACUUUUGUAUGGCAUAAAAUAUUAAUGGAGUUUAGAACCAUAUUUUAUGAGUGUUAGAGUAAAUUACCACAGGGAUAACAGUUUAAUUUUAUUAUAGAGUUCUUAUCGAUGAUGAAGUUUGACACCUCGAUGUUGGAUUAUUAACCUGUUAGGAGCAGCGGCUUAAUAAGGUAGACUGUUCGUCUAUUAAAUAAUUACA
rnacentral:rRNA from 1 species